GGGGAUGUAGCUCAGUGGGAGAGCGCCUGCUUCGCAUGCAGGAGGUCCUGGGUUCGAUCCCCAGCAUCUCCA
rfam:Tinamus guttatus contig62691, whole genome shotgun sequence.